AUCUACGGCCAUGCUACCCUGAACAAGCCCAAUCCUGUCUGAUCUUGGAAGCUAAGCAGGAUUGGGCCUGGUUAGUACUUGGACGGGAGACCACCUAGGAAGACCAGGUACUGUAGGCA
rnacentral:rRNA from 1 species